rnacentral:rRNA from 1 species
UACGAAGGGUGCUAGCGUUACUCGGAAUUACUGGGCGUAAAGGGCGCGUAGGCGGCGCCUUAAGUCGGGUGUGAAAUCCCGAAGCUCAACCUCGGAACUGCCUUCGAUACUGGGAGUCUUGAGUCCGGGAGAGGUGAGUGGAACUGCGAGUGUAGAGGUGAAAUUCGUAGAUAUUCGGAAGAACACCAGUGGCGAAGGCGGCUCACUGGCCCGGUACUGACGCUGAGGUGCGAAAGCGUGGGUAGCGAACGGG